GGAGGAAGAGGAGGGAGCUCUGGAGUGGGACAGUGACAACAGCGAGCUGGGAGCCAGCACAGGUGAGGGACACCAGAUAUUUUGGGAAUAUUUUGGGAAUGUUGGAGAAGCCCCCACAGAGCUGAAUUUUGGUUUUUUCCCCAUUUUUGUGCAGGAAUCCCAGAGGAGCUGCAAGGGCUGAAUUUUGGGGUUUUUUUCCCAUUUUUUGCAGGAAUCCCAGAGGAACUGCAGGGGCUGAAUUUCGGUUUUUUUCACCCAUUUUUUUCAGCCCCCACAGAGCUGAAUUUUGAUUUUUUUCCCCAUUUUUUGCAGGAAUGCCAGAGGACCUGCAGGGGCUGAAUUUUGGGUUUUUUCACCCAUUUUUUUGCAGGAAUCCCAGAGGAGCUGCAGGGGCUGAAUUUUGGUUUUUUUCCCCAUUUUUGUGCAGGAAUCCCAGAGGACCUGCAGGGGCUGAAUUUUGGUUUUUUUCCCCAUUUUUUUGUGCAGGAAUCCCAGAGGAGCUGCAGGGGCUGAAUUUUGGUUUUUUCCCUAUUUUUUUUUCAGAAAUCCCAGAGGAGCUGCCCCUACAUGACUGAAUUUUGAUUUUUUUCCCCAUUUUUGUGCAGAAAUCCCAGAGGAGCUGCAGGAGCUGCCCCUACAUUACUGAAUUUUGGUUUUUUUCUCCUAUUUUUUUUUUUCAGAAAUCCCAGAGGAACUGCAGGGGCUGCCCCUACAUGACUGAAUUUUUAUUUUUCCCCAUUUUUUUUGCAGGAAUCCCAGAGGAGCUGCAGGAGCUGCCCCUACAUGACUGAAUUUUGAUUUUUUCCCCAUUUUUUUUGCAGAAAUCCCAGAGGAAUUGCAGAGGCUGAAUUUUGGUUUUUUCCCAUUUUUGUGCAGGAAUCCCAGAGGAGCUGCAGGAUCAGCCCCCACAUGACUGAAUUUUGGUUUUUUCCCCAUUUUUUUUUUGCAGAAAUCCCAGAGGAGCUGCAAGAUCAGCCCCUACAUGACUGAAUUUUGAUUUUUCCCCAUUUUUUUUGCAGAAAUCCCAGAGGAAUUGCAGAGGCUGCCCCGUUGGGAGCUGCAGGCCCUCAGG
rnacentral:lncRNA from 1 species